AUACGGAGGGUGCAAGCGUUAAUCGGAAUUACUGGGCGUAAAGCGCGCGUAGGCGGCUUGAUAAGUCGGAUGUGAAAUCCCCGGGCUUAACCUGGGAAUUGCAUUCGAUACUGUCAGGCUAGAGUGUGGUAGAGGGAAGUGGAAUUUCCGGUGUAGCGGUGAAAUGCGUAGAUAUCGGAAAGAACAUCAGUGGCGAAGGCGGCUUCCUGGAUCAACUCUGACGCUGAGGUGCGAAAGCGUGGGGAGCAAACAGGAUUAGAAACCCCAGUAGUCC
rnacentral:rRNA from 1 species